rnacentral:lncRNA from 1 species
ACGACAUUAGGGAACUUUAGAUUCGCUACGGCUACGAAAUCUGGUACGACUACGAGAUUUUUUCCGUUAAAUAUGUGCUACUACAGACUUUCUAUCGUCCUUUCUUUUGCAUACCACAUCUUUAUAGUAACAGUUGCGCCAAACCACGUACUAUUAUAAGUUUUUAGUAGCUGAUAUUUAAUGGAAAAAAUCUCGUAGUCGUGCUAGAUUUCGUAGCCGUAGCGAAUCUAAAGUUCCCGAUUAAAUCACGG